CUCACACAUUUUCAGGGUCGUCAGCUGGAAGUAGCUUGACGAGGCUUUGACGCAGGCAGCUCAGGCUAAGAGCACACAUCGCAGCUACAAAGCAUCAUGUUCGCUAUGGUGACACAGCUCUCCACUCAUCUUGGAGUUAAUUUUUCGAGCAUUCAGGACAUGUUGGCUAGCAUUUCAGUUUCAGCCCCUCCAGCUCCUGCUCCAGUCCCUUCC
rnacentral:lncRNA from 1 species